UUCCCCAUGUUGCCCAGGCUGAUCUGGAACUCAUGGACUCCUACCUCCUCCGCUCAAAGUGUUGGGAUUACAGGCCUGAGUCACUGUGCCUAGCUAGAAAGCAAUGUUGGUCCAGUGUUCAGUGCCUCCUACACCUAGGAAGUGUGAAUUUACAAACAAUUAAUGCCCAGAUGAGUUAACAGACCUUGGGUUUAAAUUGAUAGGUCUGUGACCAAAGGCAAUAUAGUUCUCUGCUUCAUUUUAUUGCCAUCUGUGGAAUGGGACAGUACCUGUAGGAUGGCUGUUACAGUGAACAUUAAAGACUUAAAAUUGCCAGGCGCGGUGGCUCAAGCCUGUAAU